rnacentral:rRNA from 1 species
UACGUAGGGUGCAAGCGUUGCCCGGAUUUAUUGGGCGUAAAGCGCGCGUAGGCGGUUACUUAAGUCGGAUGUGAAAGCCCUCGGCUUAACUGAGGAAGUGCACCCGAAACUGAGUAGCUGGAGUACGAAAGAGGGUCGCGGAAUUCCCGGUGUAGAGGUGAAAUUCGUAGAUAUCGGGAGGAACACCGGUGGCGAAGGCGGCGACCUGGGUCGAGACUGACGCUGAGGCGCGAAAGCGUGGGGAGCAAACAGG